ACUCGACUUAUCAACACUAUCAUCCGGAAGUAUAUAAAUUUUCAACAUAUGCUUUAAAAAUCAAGUGGAAAAAUAAAUUCUACAAAUUACAUAAAGCGCAUUUGGAAUCAAGGUAUACAUAUACUAUGAAAAAUGUCAAUGAGGAAACAAGAUGUUUAAGAAAGUACAAAAUUGAACAAUAGGACGAAAACAACUGUUUGUUGUUAUCAUUGAAAGCUAUUUACACAGUGAAGGGAAAAUCAGCAUGAAGAACUAAUAUGGAAGAUGGUGAUAUCUAUGAAAAUGUUCCUAAAGACAAGAGUUCGAGCCAAGCAGAAAAUUCGAGAGGUGUUCACGGGGGGUAUAUUCUAAUGACAGACAAGAGAUGUAUGAAAUGUCAAUUAAAUGGAGCAAUAAAAUACCCCAGUGUGAAGAUUAUGAAAACAUGAAAGUAACAAGGAUCAGGAAUAUGGAGAAACUUGAGACAUUAAAAAAACAAGCACUGGAGAAAGAAGCCACUUUGACCAAUAAGGGAGAAAUGCGCAUAUACGACAACCCGGUAGAGGAAAAAUCGCAAUGUGCUUGCUGUGUUAUUUUGUGACCAACUUCACAUUUCAGAGAUACUGGUUCUAUGAACCCCACAAAUGUGUUCAAAAACUAGAGGUCAAAUAAUAUUUAUGUGGCGGAGUCAUUUUAGGUGCUCUACAUGUCUUUUUUUAAUUGACUAUACAUGAAAUUUUCUUAUUUGCUUGAAAUAUGUAAUUAAAAGGGUUGUAAUGUGAGAUAAGCUAUCAACAAUAUUGAAAAGCAUGUGAUCAAAAUGUUCAAAAUAUAGUUUGAAUCUUCAUGAAAAGGAAUAGAAAUGCGGAUAUGAUUGUAUAUAUGUCCAUAUGUGUUUGAAAAAUGUAAGUAUCUGUUGACAGAUUCACCUGUUUUAUUCCAAUGAAGCGGCCACGCAACGCUUUAGUCGUUUACAUCCUCAAUAGAAACCACUUUCUCCAAGAGUUGAUCAAGAGUUUAAAUCUAUAACGAGGAACAUCUCAAAAUUCAAACUUUGACCCACAAAUCUAUUGAUAAUUGAUGCUUCAAUAGAAAAUGAUUUAAUUUCGUUUGUUCUCACCAAAUGAUUCUAUAAAUAGUUUAAAAAAUUAAGAGGACUGUAUGCUAGUAACUAAACAUUUCGAACUUUGAACAUAUUAAUUAAUAUCAUAACUAGAUUUGAAGUUACUCUUGUUUAAUGUCGAUCAUUGAUUUACGCAUUUGAGUUUUUUUUUAAUUUUAAAAUCUGCGUAAAUUAUAGUGUUGACUAAGCUAUUGUGCGUGCGAUUUUUUUUCUUUCGUUUUUUAUUUUGUGUGUGUGUAUGUGAAUUGAAUAAUUACAGAUUUUAUCGUGCACGUUAUUGAAAAUCUUCACUGGAAGAGUUACAAUAAAAAUGAUUGAAUGU
rnacentral:misc_RNA from 1 species